rnacentral:rRNA from 1 species
GCCUAACACAUGCAAGUCGAGCGGGAACCCGAGGAGGGGUAACCCUCCUUGGGGGAGAGCGGCGAACGGGUGAGUACCACGUGGGCAACCUGCCCCAGACGCUGGGAUAACUCCGGGAAACCGGGGCUAAUACCGGAUACUCCGGUCGGAUCGCAUGGAACGACCGGGAAAGCUCCGACGGUCUGGGACGGGCCCGCGGCCUAUCAGCUCGUUGGUGGGGUAACGGCCUACCAAGGCGACGACGGGUAGCUGGUCUGAGAGGACGACCGGCCACACUGGGACUGAGACACGGCCCAGACUCCGACGGGAGGCAGCAGUGGGGAAUCUGGCGCUAAGGCGGGAAACCGGGAUGCAGCGACGCCGCGUGAGGGAAGAAGGCCUUCGGGUUGUAAACCUCUUUCAGGAGGGACGAAGCCACUCGGGUGAAUAGCCCAGAGGGUGACGGUACCUCCAGAAGAAGCCCCGGCUAACUAC